CCUACGGGUGGCUGCAGUGAGGAAUAUUGGUCAAUGGACGAGAGUCUGAACCAGCCAAGUAGCGUGAAGGAUGACUGCCCUAUGGGUUGUAAACUUCUUUUAUAUGGGAAUAACAUGUUCCACGUGUGGGGUUUUGUAUGUACCCUAUGAAUAAGGAUCGGCUAACUCCGUGCCAGCAGCCGCGGUAAUACGGAGGUUCCGAGCGUUAUCCGGAUUUAUUGGGUUUAAAGGGAGCGUAGGUGGAUUGUUAAGUCAGUUGUGAAAUUUUGCGGCUCAACCGUAAAAUUGCAGUUGAAACUGGCAGUCUUGAGUACAGUAGAGGUGGGCGGAAUUCGUGGUGUAGCGGUGAAAUGCUUAGAUAUCACGAAGAACUCCGAUUGCGAAGGCAGCUCACUGGACUUCAACUGACACUGAGGCUCGAAAGUGUGGGUAUCGAACAGGAUUAGAUACCCGUGUAGUC
rnacentral:rRNA from 1 species